rnacentral:tRNA from 1 species
CGGGCUGUAGCUCAGAUGGCUAGAGCACGCGCAUGGGGUGCGCGGGGUCGCUGGUUCAAGUCCAGUCAGCCCGA